ACCCGUGAGGGAUCCUGGAGGUAUCAGAAGUGCGAAUGCUGACAUAAGUAACGAUAAAAGAAGUGAAAAACUUCUUCGCCGAAAAUCCAAGGGUUUCUGCGCAAGGUUAAUCCGCGCAGAGUUAGUCGGCACCUAAGGCGAGGGCGAAAGCCGUAGUCGAUGGAAAUAAGGUUAAUAUUCCUUAACCAGAUGGUAGUGACGGAUCUUGUAAGUUGUGUACUCUUAAUGGAUUGAGUAUGCCGCGAAAAGGUUCCAAGAAAUAGCUCCAUCAUUAGACCGUACCCUAAACCGACACAGGUGGAUUAAUAGAGUAUAUUUAGGCGCUUGAGAGAAUGAUGUUGAAGGAACUCGGCAAAAUGCUUCCGUAACUUCGGGAUAAGGAAGACCCUUUUGUAGGCAACUAUAGAAGGGUGGCACAAGCCAGGGAGAAGCGACUGUUUAUCAAAAACACAGGGCUCUGCUAACACGUAAGUGGAUGUAUAGGGUCUGACGCCUGCCCGGUGCUGGAAGGUUAAUGCGGUUGGUGCAAGCUAACUUCUGAAGCCCCAGUAAACGGCGGCCGUAACUAUAACGGUCCUAAGGUAGCGAAAUUCCUUGUCGGGUAAGUUCCGACCUGCAUGAAUGGCGUAACGAUUUCUCCGCUGUCUCCAACAUCAACUCAGUGAAAUUGAAUUCUCCGUGAAGAUGCGGAGUUCGCGUAGUUAGACGGAAAGACCCCGUGCACCUUUACUGCAACUUUACAUUGGUGUUAGGAAAAACAUAUUUAGCAUAGGAGGGAGACUUUGAAGCAAAGGCGUCAGCUUUUGUGGAGUCACCAGUGAAAUACCUCUUUUGUUUUUCUUGACAUCUAACCGCUAGCCGUCAUCCGGCAGCGAGACAUUGUAUGGUGGGUAGUUUGACUGGGGCGGUCGCCUCCCAAAUAGUAACGGAGGCGUGCGAAGGUAGGCUCAGAACGGUCAGAAAUCGUUCGUAGAGUGCAAUGGCAUAAGCCUGCCUGACUGUGAGACUGACAAGUCGAGCAGAGACGAAAGUCGGUCAUAGUGAUCCGGUGGUUCUG
rnacentral:rRNA from 1 species